rnacentral:rRNA from 1 species
UACGUAGGUGGCAAGCGUUGUCCGGAUUUAUUGGGUUUAAAGGGUGCGUAGGCGGCCCUGUAAGUCAGUGGUGAAAUACUCUAGCUUAACUAGAGGGGUGCCAAUGAUACUGCAGGGCUUGAGUACAGAUGAGGUAGGCGGAAUUGACGGUGUAGCGGUGAAAUGCAUAGAUAUCGUCAAGAACACCUAUAGCGAAGGCAGCUUACUGGGCUGUAACUGACGCUGAGGCACGAAAGUGUGGGAGUCAAACAGG